rnacentral:rRNA from 1 species
CCUACGGGUGGCAGCAGUGAGGAAUAUUGGUCAAUGGACGCAAGUCUGAACCAGCCAUGCCGCGUGCAGGAAGACGGCUCUAUGAGUUGUAAACUGCUUUUGUACGAGGGUAAACGCAGAUACGUGUAUCUUUCUGAAAGUAUCGUACGAAUAAGGAUCGGCUAACUCCGUGCCAGCAGCCGCGGUAAUACGGAGGAUUCAAGCGUUAUCCGGAUUUAUUGGGUUUAAAGGGAGCGUAGGCGGUCGGAUAAGUUAGAGGUGAAAUCCCGAGGCUCAACUUCGGAAUUGCCUCUGAUACUGUUCGGCUAGAGGGUAGUUGCGGUAGGCGGAAUGUAUGGUGUAGCGGUGAAAUGCUUAGAGAUCAUACAGAACACCGAUUGCGAAGGCAGCUUACCAAGGUACUUCUGACGUUGAGGCACGAAAGCGUGGGGAGCAAACAGGAUUAGAUACCCGGGUAGUC